rnacentral:rRNA from 1 species
AUGAACGCUAGCUACAGGCUUAACACAUGCAAGUCGAGGGGCAGCAUUUUAGUUUGCUUGCAAACUAAAGAUGGCGACCGGCGCACGGGUGAGUAACACGUAUCCAACCUGCCGAUAACUCGGGGAUAGCCUUUCGAAAGAAAGAUUAAUAUCCGAUAGUAUAUUAAAACCGCAUGGUUUUACUAUUAAAGAAUUUCGGUUAUCGAUGGGGAUGCGUUCCAUUAGUUUGUUGGCGGGGUAACGGCCCACCAAGACUACGAUGGAUAGGGGUUCUGAGAGGAAGGUCCCCCACAUUGGAACUGAGACACGGUCCAAACUCCUACGGGAGGCAGCAGUGAGGAAUAUUGGUCAAUGGACGAGAGUCUGAACCAGCCAAGUAGCGUGAAGGAUGACUGCCCUAUGGGUUGUAAACUUCUUUUAUAUGGGAAUAAAGUAUUCCACGUGUGGGAUUUUGUAUGUACCAUAUGAAUAAGGAUCGGCUAACUCCGUGCCAGCAGCCGCGGUAAUACGGAGGAUCCGAGCGUUAUCCGGAUUUAUUGGGUUUAAAGGGAGCGUAGGUGGAUUGUUAAGUCAGUUGUGAAAGUUUGCGGCUCAACCGUAAAAUUGCAGUUGAAACUGGCAGUCUUGAGUACAGUAGAGGUGGGCGGAAUUCGUGGUGUAGCGGUGAAAUGCUUAGAUAUCACGAAGAACUCCGAUUGCGAAGGCAGCUCACUAGACUGCAACUGACACUGAUGCUCGAAAGUGUGGGUAUCAAACAGGAUUAGAUACCCUGGUAGUCCACACAGUAAACGAUGAAUACUCGCUGUUUGCGAUAUACAGUAAGCGGCCAAGCGAAAGCAUUAAGUAUUCCACCUGGGGAGUACGCCGGCAACGGUGAAACUCAAAGGAAUUGACGGGGGCCCGCACAAGCAGUGGAGUAUGUGGUUUAAUUCGACGCAACGCGAAGAACCUUACCAAGUCUUGACAUCCUGCGACGGUUCUGGAAACAGAACUUUCCUUCGGGACGCAGAGACAGGUGGUGCAUGGUUGUCGUCAGCUCGUGCCGUGAGGUGUCGGCUUAAGUGCCAUAACGAGCGCAACCCUUAUCUUUAGUUACUAACAGGUCAUGCUGAGGACUCUAGAGAGACUGCCGUCGUAAGAUGUGAGGAAGGUGGGGAUGACGUCAAAUCAGCACGGCCCUUACGUCCGGGGCUACACACGUGUUACAAUGGGGGGUACAGAAGGCAGCUACCUGGCGACAGGAUGCUAAUCCCAAAAACCUCUCUCAGUUCGGAUCGAAGUCUGCAACCCGACUUCGUGAAGCUGGAUUCGCUAGUAAUCGCGCAUCAGCCAUGGCGCGGUGAAUACGUUCCCGGGCCUUGUACACACCGCCCGUCAAGCCAUGGGAGCCGGGGGUACCUGAAGUCCGUAACCGCAAGGAUCGGCCUAGGGUAAAACUGGUGACUGGGGCU